rnacentral:sRNA from 1 species
AUGCUCUCGUUGUCUCUUUGCUCCCAUCUCUGGGGGCCUCUGAUUCUUUCUGCUCUACAGGCACGCAGCACUGACAGCCUGGAUGGCCCAGGGGAGGGCUCGGUGCAGCCUCUACCCACCGCUGGGGGGCCCAGUGUGAAGGGGAAGCCUGGGAAGAGGUGAGGGUGAGGGAGGAAAGGGCUCAGCUAGGAGCUGGGGAGACUCAAGGAGCUGCUGGUGAUGCAUCCCUGUCUCCCAGGCUCUCAGCUCCUCGAGGCCCCUUCCCGCGGCUGGCUGACUGCGCCCAUUUCCACUACGAGAACGUCGACUUUGGCCACAUUCAGCUCCUGCUGUCUCCAGACCGUGAAGGGCCCAGCCUCUCUGGAGAGAAUGAGCUGGUGUUCGGGGUGCAGGUGACCUGUCAGGGCCGUUCCUGGCCGGUUCUCCGGAGUUACGAUGACUUUCGUUCCCUGGAUGCCCACCUCCACCGGUGCAUAUUUGACCGGAGGUUCUCCUGCCUUCCGGAGCUUCCCCCGCCCCCUGAGGGUGCCAGGGCUGCUCAGAUGCUGGUGCCACUGCUGCUGCAGUACCUGGAGACCCUGUCAGGACUGGUGGACAGUAACCUCAACUGCGGGCCUGUGCUCACCUGGAUGGAGGUGGGCCUGGGCAGGGGGCUUGGAGUUCAGAGUGGGUGAGGGGGUGCGUGUGCCACCACGCCCAGCACAGAGAGUUUUUAGAUGGCAACCAUGUGGUAUCUGCUGUGGAGGAUGAAGGUGCAGAGGUGGAUGGGGAAGCCUUCAGGUGGGGAAGCCUUUGGGUGGGAGAGUCCUGGGACAUGUGA